rnacentral:rRNA from 1 species
CCGGGGCUGAGUGCGCUACGUGACCUGCGGGAGGUCAUUACCUAGAGUUGUAGGCUUUGCCUGCUAUCUCUUACCCAUGUCUUUUAAGUACCUUCGUUUCCUCGGCGGGUUCGCCCGCCGAUUGGACAAUUUAAACCAUUUGCAGUUGCAAUCAGCGUCUGAAAAAACUUAAUAGUUACAACUUUCAACAACGGAUCUCUUGGUUCUGGCAUCGAUGAAGAACGCAGCGAAAUGCGAUAAGUAGUGUGAAUUGCAGAAUUCAGUGAAUCAUCGAAUCUUUGAACGCACAUUGCGCCCCUUGGUAUUCCAUGGGGCAUGCCUGUUCGAGCGUCAUUUGUACCUUCAAGCUCUGCUUGGUGUUGGGUGUUUGUCUCGCCUCUGCGUGUAGACUCGCCUCAAAACAAUUGGCAGCCGGCGUAUUGAUUUCGGAGCGCAGUACAUCUCGCGCUUUGCACUCAUAACGACGACGUCCAAAAGUACAUUUUUACACUCUUGACCUCGGAUCAGGUAGGGAUACCCGCUGAACUUAA